rnacentral:lncRNA from 12 species
GGUCGAUGUGUCUGAGCUGUCCCAGUCACCUCUUCUGGGAGGGGUGACUGUUUGGGUGUGUCUGAUGUCAGAUAUUGCCAUGUCCACUGUUGGCACUGCUGAAAGGAUAGAAGACUUUUCUACAGAAGUGACAGUGUACCGCUGCAGGAACUGUAACAGCUGCACAUGCAAGUCUGGGGCAAAUGAUUUUGAAAACUUUAAAAAAAUCGCUGACACACAAAACAACAUAUUUUCAGAUGUAAUAAUAGAGUUGGAGACCAAUAAAACCCACACCACUGUUUGUUUUGAGGAACCAAAUUUCUGUCUUGAAGAAGUUUAUGGCAUCUUCUGGAGGAGAGAUGGGGGAUCAGGACUCUCGUGUGGCACCCUGAGUUCUGGAGAAAAUGGAAGAGGUGACAUCAGUACUGAGAAGACUAUUUGCUGUGAAGCAGAGACAGAUACCAGGAGAUACAAUCCUGAAGUGAAGUGCUUCUACACUCAAAAGUCACGUCCAAAACUCAAGACACUUCCAGUUGGCGAUCCUGCUGAGAGAAUUGCAGGUAAUCCUGAAUUUCUCACCAGCACAGAGAGCAGCCCUGGCAUGCGGAUCGGCAUCUCGUGUGCAGUCCUGUUUGUUGGGAUUUGCACACUAUUGGUUGCCAUGUAUUACUGCCGGCAGCGGCAUGGCCAAGCUUGUAGGCGAGGCCGACAGGCUCCUGAAGGAGAAAAUCUUGUACAUGUUUGAUAACCAUCUCCAAAAGAGAAGCUCUGCCAGCAGCAUCCUGCUCCUCCUACUUUCUCUAAGGAUGUACAGCAAUCAACUGAACACAGACUGAUUUUUCCAUGAGAACUUCUGCCCUUGUAUUCACAAACAGUUGUGUUUUCACAAAUGUACUUUCACCACAUCCUCACCCUCCAUCAACAACACGAACAAUACCUGUCCAUUCCUCCAGUUCCACUUCCAUACAAAGCAAAAUUAUAUUUAUAAAGACUUCUGUAAUUGAGGAAUGCCACCAGAGCUCCUGCACGAUCAGAGGCUCCAUUGCUGUGACUGAUUUUGGCAAUCUAAGGUGGGACAGUAACAGUUCCCUCUGUUCUGUGAUUACUGCUCUGGAUUUUUGAGUCAGAGCAAAACUUCACAUCUACAAGAGCAGAUGCCCCCAUGUAUGGCUGUGGUCACUUUGCUGGGGGGCUGUGCUGUGC